rnacentral:rRNA from 1 species
GUGCCAGCCGCCGCGGUAAGACAGAGGUGGCAAGCGUUGUUCGGAAUUACUGGGCUUAAAGGGCGCGUAGGUGUCCUGGCAAGUCAGAUGUGGAAUCUUUCCGCUUAACGGGAAAAUUGCAUUUGAAACUGCCGGGAUUGAGUCAGACAGGGGAUGGCGGAAUUCCUGGUGUAGCGGUGAAAUGCGUAGAUAUCAGGAGGAAGGCCUGUGGUGAAGACGGCCAUCUGGGUCUGAACUGACACUGAGGCGCGAAAGCGUGGGUAGCAAACAGGAUUAGAAACCCUGGUAGUCC